UACGUAGGGGGCAAGCGUUGUCCGGAAUUAUUGGGCGUAAAGCGCGCGCAGGCGGUCAUUUAAGUCUGGUGUUUAAACCUUGGGCUCAACCUGGGGUCGCACUGGAAACUGGGUGACUUGAGUACAGAAGAGGAAAGUGGAAUUCCACGUGUAGCGGUGAAAUGCGUAGAUAUGUGGAGGAACACCAGUGGCGAAGGCGACUUCUGGGCUGUAACUGACGCUGAGGCGGCGAAAGCGUGGGGAGCGAACGAGG
rnacentral:rRNA from 1 species